UUUGAUUCCUUUAACUUUUUGUUAUUUACACUUUUUCUUUUUUUUUUUUUUAGUUUCAGUUUUUCAGAAGAGAAGCAUGUUUGUUAGGACUUAAAGAUUCAAUUUCAAUCAACGCCAUUUUCUCAUCUUCUUCCUCUGCUGUAUCUUUGAUUCGCCUAUCCUCGCCGCCGCAAUACGCCUCAAACGCUGCCGCUCCCUGCGUCCGCCGCCGCUCCCUGCUUCUGCCGCCGCCGCGCAGGACUCUGCCUAAACGCUUGGAGGUUAGUUAAUCAUUAUGCCUUUUCAAUUCAUCAUUUCGUAUGUUUUCUUCUCUGUUCUUUGCACUGUUACUUCUUCAAUCUCUUUGACCCUCUCUCUGACUUUGACCUCCACACACACGCACUUUCUAUGUUGUAAAUGGUUAACACACGUGGUUGUUGUUGGUGGUGAUAAUGGCUGUGUUUCUCAUGUCAACUCUCUCUACUUGCUACUAUAUUUAUUAGUUUUCGGUGUUUUAUUGGCUUAUUCAUAUGGUAGUUGUAACCUCGGCAGAGUAACACGGAACAAAAACCAUGUUUCAUUCGGCGAGUGUUCAACAAGAACAUGGUCUUGUCCAUGAUUUUGUAUCCCAUAUUGGUCGAUUUGCCUUUGAUUCCAGGUUCUUCACCUUUGGCUCUGAUAAUUGCGCUUUAGCUUUAUCAAAUUACUUGCACUUCAAUGUCACAAAGCAAAGUGUGUGUUCUGCUGCUUCUCUUAGCUUGAAACUUGGAGGCAGAGGGGAUUCGAAUUUGAAUUUUAGGAGGUUUUUUAAUGAUUUCAACACCGCUAUUAGGUUCCACACUCAGAAAUUGCCAAUUGGAUUUGAUUCUCCUGCCUUGAUGCUAGGGAUAAUAGUGAUGAUAUUGCCUUGCUACUCAGUAGCUAUGAGGAAUGUUAUUCUAGGGAUAAUAGUGAUUUCAACGCAGCUAUUAGGUUGACUAGUAUGUAAGAUAAUACAAAGAAAAAUAUUAGUCUUCUAAUAUUUCUCAAAAUGAAAAUUUAUAAAUAAGAUAAUCCUUCUGUUUUGUUUUAUAAAUUAGAAAAACGAAUAGCCGCUAUUAAUUUUGUGCCUGGUGCAUUCUAAAACUGAUCUGUUAAGUACUUAUGCCAAAAAUGAAUGAUGAUAAUAACUGUAUUGAUGUUAAUGUAUAUGGCUUAUGGCCCUAUGAUGGCGCGACUAGUAGUUUGAUCAUGGCCUUGACAUUUGUUUUCAGUCUAUGGAGUAUGUAGUGAUAAAAUUAUGAUUCUUCCUCAGCUUAAUUUGCUCUGUGCUGCAUUAUUAUGAUUAUUGUUAUUGCUUUGCUCUCACAAAUAUAUUAAUGUUUUUGACGGCUCUGAUAUGUCAAUUCAAGUGAUUCUUGGGUUAUUAUAGUGUCACAAUCAUUCACACUAGAUUGCAGCAUGGCCAUCACGACUUCAUACACAGUUAUGAAUUAUGAUGGGAGCAA